CUAGUGGCGCACGGGUGAGUAACGCGUGGGAACCUACCUUUUAGUACGGGACAACGUCUGGAAACGGACGCUAAUACCGUAUACGCCCUCCGGGGGAAAGGCUUGCCGCUAAAAGAGGGGCCCGCGUCUGAUUAGCUUGUUGGUAAGGUAAUGGCUUACCAAGGCUACGAUCAGUAGCUGGUCUGAGAGGAUGAUCAGCCACACUGGGACUGAGACACGGCCCAGACUCCUACGGGAGGCAGCAGUGGGGAAUAUUGGACAAUGGAGGCAACUCUGAUCCA
rnacentral:rRNA from 1 species